GACAGAGGUGCCAAGCGUUAGGCGGAAUCACUGGGCUUAAAGCGUGUGUAGGCGGAAUCGUAAGUACCUUGUGAAAUCCCACGGCUCAACCGUGGAACUGCUUGGUAUACUGCUUUUCUUGAGCAACUUAGGGGCUGUCGGAACAAACGGUGGAGCGGUGAAAUGCGUAGAUAUCGUUUGGAACGCCAAAGGUGAAAACAGACAGCUGGGAGUGUGCUGACGCUGAGACACGAAAGCCAGGGGGAGCGAACGGG
rnacentral:rRNA from 1 species